GCAAUCAGCGAGACUCCAUGGGCGUAGGACCCUCUGAGCCAGAGGCUGAGUAGUCUCAAGAUCUGAAGACAGCAGAAACCUGGGAAAGUUAAUGAUAUACGUUGUUAUACUCCAAGUGUGAGUCUGAAGACAAGGGAAGACCAACGUCCAAGCUUGAAGACAGUCAGAUAGAAUCAUUCUGCAGCCUGGCUAAGGAUGAAGAUAACUGAUAAACUAUUAUAUACCACUAUACCAAAAAGGAUUGAAAUUAUCCUGAAAAAGGAUUGCUGCUAUUGUUGCCUUCUCUGCAUCGUGCUGUGUCCCCAAGAAGAAAACAGUUCAUGUGAAGGAAGAGAUUAGUUCCACUCAUGAAAAUCUGAAGAUUUAUAUUGUCUCUGGUUUCAUGUGAUUAUGUCAUGUGUGUCAAGAGCCAACAGUUAAUAAAUAUGUACUGAACACACAUUUCAUGGUAGGCAAAUUGCCACUUAAUAUCAAUGUGGUUUAGGUUCUAACAGUUAUAGUGCUUCCUGCUGUACAAGAGUUGGGUAUCAAAGGAGGAAGAAAUGAAACACUUCUCUGGAAAUAUCCACUUACAUCUACUGUCCUAAUAGGAUUUAAUGGUAUUUGAGGAUAUCCUGAAGAAAAGAAUGUGAACCAUGUUCACCAUUGGAGUGAAGAUGAAUGAAAACAGGUCUGAUUGACUGUGGUAGGUAGCCCCAGUAGGAGUCAGGUGACAUUAAAAUAUAGAAGAUUUUGAUCCUAAAUUUAAGGGAGGAAGAGAGGUCCCAGCUCUAUAUGAUACCGGUAAGAGCGUCCUCUUUUAUCUCUUCCCCAGUAGAAUUGCACUUUCAAGGAUCCUGUUCUAUGAGCACCAUCCCCUGUAUUUUCAAAUAAUUGUCUUCUAAUAUUGUACUCAAAUUAUUAUUUGAUCACAUUAAAUCCCACAAUUAAUUGAUUUAUCUUACCACUUGCUCCUUUUCUCACCUGGAUCUAUUGUUUGACUUUAUAAUCACUGACAUGCAUACAACUCCAUAGCUUUCCAUGUACCUAGGAAAAUAAGCAAAGUUUCUAAAAUCCAAGUUUCUACCCACUUAACACCUGUUCAAAGAGAACUGAUCUUUGUUAAAGAAAGGUAAAUGAGCAUCCUGACAAGUUUCACAGUAAAUCUGACUGCUAACUUCAAGUGGCUAGCAAUUCUACAUAGUACAAUAGUCAUUUACUCUCUUACUCUUCUAGAAAACUAUUUUACACCUUGGCCUCUUUCUCUGAAUAUAUUUUCCCAAUUCUUUACUCUCUGCAGAAGACUUAUUUCAAAAAAGAAAUUUCACAUGCUACCAUAUUCACAUCUACUACUCUCUAGCUGCCAGAUAGCUCUCAUCAUCAUAAAACUUGCUUCAAUAUAUUCCAUCAACAAAAAGGAAAAAACAUUGCCACAACCUCCCCCUUCCAUUCCUCUUUUCCUCAUCAGAUAAAAAACAUUUGAAGCAAUUGUCAGUAUACAUAUUUGUUCUUCCUCUCUUUGAACAUCUUAUAUUUAGCAUUUUCCCCGUCACUCACAAAAAAAACAGCUGUAGUCAAGAUUAUCAAUUAUCUUGGUUUGGGUUCCUCACAAAGUAAAUCAGGAGACAGGACCUGGGUACAGAUAGUUUAUUUGUAGGUAAACAGAAGCACAGUUAUGGAAGUGGAGAAAGUGAAAUUGAAAAGUGGCAAAAGUCACCAGAAGUUGUAUGAACCAGCAAGAUUCUCCACAUGGGACACUGGUACCCACUGGGAACCUUCUGAGAAAUUGUGUGGCACAUACCUUGGAAGUUGUUACCAGUUGAAUACACCCUGAAGCUGAAGCUUCGGGUGAACUAAAGGAUAUGGGGCGGGGCAUCUGCACCACUCAGUCUUAUUUCUUCCAUCUUACUAGCUCAGUUUCCUUUUCUACAUUCUCCUCCUUUGAAUAAUGGGGUGUCCAGGUCCAGUUGUUUUAGGGUCCAGUUGUUUUGGGUAAUCUCAUCUAAUUACAGAUGAGAAUUACAUAUAAUGAAAAUUUUAACUCCAAAUUCACAUAUCUAAUAUCCACUUGACAUGGCAUCCCCACUUUGACUUUAGUAGCUCUUCUGCACAAACCAUGUAAAAUAUAUUUCACAGCAUUCCCCUCCAACUUGAUUCCUCUAACCUUCCCCAACUCAAUAAAUAGAUGCUCCAUUUUCCCAGUGUCCAGGCCUGUUAUGUUCCUUCCUUUAGCAUGUGUAUGGCUCAUUCCCUUACUUCAUUCAGGACUCUCUUUAAAUUACCAGAAACAAAAAUCCUUCUGCAAUGAAACUAUGUAAAAUACCAUUCUAACCACCCUUAACUGUGCCAUGUUUUUCUUUAUACUCAUCACCACCUGAGAUAUACAUUUGACUUGCUUAUUAUUUGCCCAGUGCUAGAAUGUACAUUCCUUAUGGGGACAAUGUUUUAUUCACUGCUGUGUCACCAGCAGCUAGUUCAUGGUCUGGCACUUGUUAAAGACUCAACAAAUAUUUGUUGAAUACAUGAAAAAGGGUCUCUGAAAAAAAGCUAAAACAAACAAACAUUUUUAAAAAAUUGGAGUUUGAUCUGCUGGAGGGGAAUUACCAAUAGGUUUGGAGAAUGGAAAAUUGUGAUGAUGCCAGGAACAGUAUGGCAAUUGACAAAAGACCCAAUUCUAACACAGGUACUUAUGCACCACAUAUGUGCCAUGGGAGAAAGGACUUGGUGACUUUAAGAACUGGCAACACUUUGACACUUAAGUGACACUUUGGUGAAUGUAGAGACUACAUUCAUUUUUAUCUUUCUAUCUCCUCACUGCUUAUGUUCAAUUUCAGAAACAGACCAUUGUGAAUAUCUGCAAUUGAAAUGGUCGAAGCACGUUCUCCACCUUUUUAGUUCCUCACAUUGUGAAUCCUGUUUUUCCAAGGGGAAUAAAAAUUCGUCAAAAUAACUGGGGAAAAAUCUACGUUUCUCAACCUUCUUUGAUACUAGGAUACUGAUAUAAGAACUUAACAUCUCUCAGUCAGACACACUCAUGCAAACCUUUUAUUUAUAAGUUAGCUACAUGAGGGGAAAUUCUAAAUGUAGGGCAUCCAUUUUGCUGGUGAAAGAGUUGGUGAGGAAGAGUUUCUAAUGAAAUCCUGGUCAUACAGAAGUAGCGUAGUUUAGAGGUUGUCAAUGGCAGCUGUCUCUUUGCUAGAUCUGUGGUGCGAUUUGGGGAGUUUAUUUUGGCAGCUCAGCCUACUGUCUGUUCCUUUAACUCUUCCAGUAACUUUGUAAACACUUUAUUAUAUUUUAAUCAAUACAUUCGUGAUCAAACCAGCUAGAAUAGUCUGUUAUCUACAAGUAAGAAUGCUAAGUAAUGCACAGUACACAUACAACAGCCAAGAGUAACACAGAAGGAGCAUUCUGACUUACUGUGGAAGAGCAGUAAUAAGAGCUAGAGGCCAUUAUCCUUAGCAAACUAACACAGUAACAGAAAACCCAAUACUGCGUGUUCUCACUUAUA
rnacentral:lncRNA from 1 species